GUCACGUCACCUGUGCGGACACAAAGUUUCCCGGUAGCUCCGGGACAGCCGGUGAGUUUUAACUACAUGUCUUUAUGAAACUUUGUCGAGUGCUUUUCGCGGGGUUUUGUCUCACUUUUCCGCAGCGAUAAAAUUAGCGUUGGAGACGGCAGCAAGUGAAGCGUAGCUGCGGGUUAUAAAUGUCGGUCUGACCCGCAGUCUUACACGGUUAAGGUGUUUUUAAGGAGGGACAUGUGGUAGAGAGGAGACAGCUUCGGUGUUCAGCCCGCUGACUCGGCGGCUCUGGGUUUACUGCUCGUGAGGCCUGCGGGUCGGGCUUCCACCGGGCUUGAGUAGAGCCCGACGCCGGCUUCGAGAGGUGAGAGGCCGGCAGUUGGCUCCGCCACCGCCGGGCCUGCGGACUAAGGUAUGGAACGGAUGGAAGUGGACCAGUGCGCAGGCGCAGCUGGCGGGGCAGGAGGCGGGGCACUCCGCAGAUCGAACAGCGCCCCCAUGAUCACCAGUGUCAGUGACGGGAUGACAGUCUUCAGUCCAGUGUCCUCGGCUCGGUACAGACGCAGCAGCGUGUCCAUCAACCCCAGCUGCCCUUCACAGCUCGUCCCCCUCUCUCCUUUCUCUCUGACCGGAGACAGACUUGACCACAAGAGGCAGGUGAGGAGUUCACACUUCUUCUUCUGCUCUUUUUCAUCUCUCCAUUUGCGCACAAACUUCUCGCCUCUGCAUUCAUUUAUUUAAGAAGAGAUUUUCGGGCGUCCCGGUAGCACAG
rnacentral:lncRNA from 1 species